rnacentral:rRNA from 1 species
GAACCAUCUAGUAGCUGGUACAUUCCCCUAGUAACGGCGAGUGAAGCGGGAACAGCUCAAAUUUGAAAUCUGGCCCUUGGGUCCGAGUUGUAAUUUGCAGAGGAUGCUUUUGGUGCGGUGCCUUCCGAGUUCCCUGGAACGGGACGCCUUAGAGGGUGAGAGCCCCGUACGGUUGGCCACCAAGCCUGUGUAAAGCUCCUUCGACGAGUCGAGUAGUUUGGGAAUGCUGCUCAAAAUGGGAGGUAUAUUUCUUCUAAAGCUAAAUACUGGCCAGAGACCGAUAGCGCACAAGUAGAGUGAUCGAAAGAUGAAAAGCACUUUGAAAAGAGGGUUAAAUAGCACGUGAAAUUGUUGAAAGGGAAGGAUUUAUGACCAGACUUUUUCUGGGGGGAUCAUCCGGUGUUCUCACCGGUGCACUUCCCCCAGUGGAGGCCAGCAUCGGUUUCUGCCGGGGGAUAAAAGCUUCGGGAAUGUGGCUCCUUCGGGAGUGUUAUAGCCCGUUGCAUAAUACCCUGGCGGGGACCGAGGUUCGCGCAUUGCAAGGAUGCUGGCGUAAUGGUUAUUAAUCACCCGUCUUGAAACACGGACCAAGGAGUCGAACAUUUGUGCGAGUGUUUGGGUGUUAAACCCUCACGCGUAAUGAAAGUGAACGGAGGUGAGAGCCCCUCGGGGUGCAUCAUCGACCGAUCCUGAUGUCUUCGGAUGGAUUUGAGUAAGAGCAUAACUGUUCGGACCCGAAAGAUGGUGAACUAUGCGUGGAUAGGGUGAAGCCAGAGGAAACUCUGGUGGAGGCUCGCAGCGGUUCUGACGUGCAAAUCGAUCGUCAAAUCUGCGCAUGGGGGCGAAAGACUAAUCAUAUCAAUAAGCGGAGGAAAAGAAACCCAACAGGG